rnacentral:ribozyme from 12 species
AAAAUGAGUUAAAGAUUUUUGUCUUUCUCGCUCAUCUAUUAGAGCAACAAGCCCAUCUUCGGACAUUUUAUUUUUUUUGUUCUUUGUUUUUUUUUCCUGCUUUGCAUUCUUUUCACUU